ACCUGCAGCCGGACUCGGCCAUGGGCAAAGCCAGGUGUACAGCAGGUGUCCAUCAGGUGCCUGCGGACUGCUGGUCCCCUCUUGGCCACUCAGUGAAGGACUUGGACAAGCACUGCCCCUCGGACCUCGCUCUCUGAAUCAGGUGUGUGGCCCAAUCUCAAGCCCUGGACCAAACCCCAAGGCCCAUGGUUCCAACUGGCAUUUUGAGGAGGGCACUCUGUCCAGGAAAGGGACAGCCACACGGAGCAUCACGCCCACCUCACGGAGCACAGGCAGAAGCAGCCAGCACAUCAGCAUGAUGACAUCUUCACAGGACAGGAAGUUGG
rnacentral:lncRNA from 1 species